GAUGAACGCUGGCGGCGUGCCUAAUACAUGCAAGUCGAGCGAACAGAUAAGGAGCUUGCUCCUUUGACGUUAGCGGCGGACGGGUGAGUAACACGUGGGUAACCUACCUAUAAGACUGGAAUAACUCCGGGAAACCGGGGCUAAUGCCGGAUAACAUUUAGAACCGCAUGGUUCUAAAGUGAAAGAUGGUUUUGCUAUCACUUAUAGAUGGACCCGCGCCGAAUUAGCUAGUUGGUAAGGUAACGGCUUACCAAGGCAACGAUACGUAGCCGACCUGAGAGGGUGAUCGGCCACACUGGAACUGAGACACGGUCCAGACUCCUACGGGAGGCAGCAGUAGGGAAUCUUCCGCAAUGGGCGAAAGCCUGACGGAGCAACGCCGCGUGAGUGAUGAAGGUCUUCGGAUCGUAAAACUCUGUUAUUAGGGAAGAACAAAUGUGUAAGUAACUGUGCACGUCUUGACGGUACCUAAUCAGAAAGCCACGGCUAACUACGUG
rnacentral:rRNA from 1 species